AGCCCCGGAGUGCGGGGGCGGUGUAGCACGUUUGUGCGCUGUGCAUCAGGAGGAGGAGGACUGGGUUAAAAUGGUACCACGGGCGGGGAUUGGAAGUAGAAUUGAAGGCUUUCACUUAAAAAAAACAUUCCUUUUUGUUUCUGCAGAGCUAUCGGAUCAGAAUAAGGAUGAAAAAAAAAAUCUGUAUGGCUACCGGAGGGCAGAGGAAUAUUCAACCUUUGUGUACCUUUGCGCACGGUAAACCUGCAGUCUACCGCACAUCCGGAUUUCUGCAGCCCAGAUUUGGCAGCUUUGCAACCGAGAGGCUUUUCUUUCAUUCAUGGAUCCUGGAAUGACUGGAGCGUCAGGCGCCCUCUGGAGUCUCAGCGUUGUCUUAUGUUUUAUUCUUAAAGACGCUUGAAAUUAUUGGAAAAAUGCUUGAAAUUAUUGGAAAAAUGUGUCCAAUAAUUACUUGGCUUUGUUUGAUUUAAGUUACUUUCAGUCUUUCCCCAUAAGUUUCAUACCUAAAAAUAAUUUAAGAGUUCCCUGUGUUUAUACACUGUUAAACAAGGGUUUGUUGAAUAAACCACAGCUGGAUGAGUUUGUAUGCAGUAAGUCAUAAAUAUGCUUUACAAGAAGUCCAAUCCAGUGCCUACAUUCCAUUUCCACUGCUUGUAUGUAGAAAGAAUUUGUGUUUAUGAUACUGGCACAUGAAAAUGAAAGGUUGCGAUCUUCUAUCACUCUUCAGCAUUUUAUCCUCAAAAGUAUAUUGUUUAUGACAUUAAAAUCAUGUUUUCAGAUAUUACAUUGGUAGGCCUGCCUGUCAUACAUUUCUUUAAUCUUAAAAAUGCUACUUAUGGCCAUCAUAAAAUCCUUACUGUGAUCAGUACCCUCAACCUGUCCCAAAGAGGCCUGAGGAAAUGGAUUACUAUAGACCUUCCUUGUGGUUCAAAAUAUUUGGAAGGCACCUGAUUAGGAAACUAAAUGUAACUCAUAUCUCUAUUAAAAUAUGAGUUGUUUACUUCCUAAUAAAUAAGAUUGCAACUAAGUUGGAAGAACUAGACCUCAUGGUAAUGUUAUGCAUAUAUGAAAUGGUAGUCUGUAUUGUUGAAAAGGGUUCCCGGUUUCCUAUUGUGUCUGGUACACUAUUUGUCUUUCACUUCCUCCUAUAGUUCCAAUAUUGAUUAUAAUUAGUCCCUGUUGAGCAAGAGAAAUUCUGGAAUCUUAAUUGAUGUAUAUGAUGCACAUGAUGCAUACACAUACGUAGAGAGAAAGAAGUUCUUUAUGAUUCAGCCAAUUCAUUCUGAGAGGUAUUUAUUUGAUUUAUAUUUUGUCUUUCCUCCAGGAGCUGAAGGUGAUAAAUAGAGCAUAUUUUUCUCCUCUCCCCCAACAAAAUGCUGUGAGGGCUGAGAGUGACUGGCCUAAAAUAAAACAAUGAGUUUGUGGAAACUGUGGAAAAGGGUCUAGAAUGUGUCGGAAUAAUGAAGCCUAUUUUAUGCAGAGGCUAAGGAACAUCUUGCAAGGAUAUUGGAACCAGAGUAAUCUACACUGCCUAUAUGAUUUACAAGCAAACCUGCAGGUUACUUGAGUCUUUCAUUUUUGAUGGCCAUAUUGACGGCUUUUCUUCUUAACACAAUAACAGAGGAAAAUACAAUAUUCAAAAUAGCAGGAAGAGGACACAUCCCUGCAAACUAGAGACCUAUUUCUAAUCAAUUCUGGCAUCAUUCUUGCGAUUCAAACUGAUCUGUAUAUCUGUGUGCCAAGUAAACAUUUCCCAGUUUUAAUGCAUACUGGUCAAAUAUAUGUUUAAAAGUACGAGAACUCAUCCAAGAAAAAAAGGUCAUUCCUGACAUCAAUAGAUGGUCCUAAAAUAUUGUUAUGAAAAUGCAGUUUCUUUCCAUAUGUGUCAUGUAAAUCUUUAGCACUAGUAACAAGGGGCUAAUCUGUAGGAUCAGCUACUGAGAAUUUCCUGUAGCCAUAAUGUCAUCUUGUACUUGCCUCCAGCUCAUUGGCAAGUCAGUGGUGAAAGGUGGACCUUUUAAAACUAAUCUUUAUUUAUAUAUACAUUGAUGAAACAGUGGGAAAUGGACCUGCCUUAUAGUACUGUAUAAUUUAACCAGAUGAAAUUGGCAAAUGUUCUUUUCCCCUUCUAGCUCAAGUGACAGGAAAAAUGUCAACACAAUGGUGUCCCUCCUUUCCUUCUCAGUCCAGGAGAAGUAAAGAAGGUUGGGAAUCCCACCAAUUAGGGCUUGUAAUAACAUGGACCAGAAUGGAAUUACUAGGCCAGUGAUGGCGAACCUUUUUGCUGUCAUGUGCCAAAAAGCAGGGGGAGUGCGGGCGGGUCGCGCAUGCGUGUGCCCACACCCAUAAUUCAAUGCACCCCCCCAUACAUGCACGCGUGAUCCCCCGUGCUCCCCCUGCUUUUGGCAAGCGAUGGCACAGUGGGCCCGGUAGGCCCAUUUUUUGCCCUCCCCAGGCUCCAGAGGCUUUCUAGGAGCAUGGGGAGGACAAAAAUGGCCUUCCCACCCCCCGGAGGCCCUCCUGAGGCUGGAAACAGCCCAGUUGCCGACUUCCGGUGGGCCCAAAAAUCAGCUGGCUGGCAUGCACAUUGUGCUGGAGCUGAACUAAGGCAAUGCUGGUGUUCCCACCGAUAUGGCUCCAUGUGCCACCUGUGGCACACGUGCCAUAGGUUCGCCAUCAAGGUACUAGGCCAUUCUGUGGAUAAAGCAGGGGAAGGAAUUGAAAUCUGGAAAGGGAUUUCUUAAGCUAGCUUUAGUUCCAGUCAGACUGUGCAUGGGAGACAUGCCCUUUAAGCUGCUUUUCUGCAGGGCAAGAAAGCACAAAGACAAGACAAUCUCCUGUAAUGUUUUUGAAAGUAGCAGACUUUCUGGAGUGAGAACAGCAGGUAGAUACAUCUUUGUCUUCCCAUACUAAUUGUGAUCUACGCUUCAUAGCCUAGUUGUUCAGAAAUCAAAUGUUCUGAUGUAAACAGAGCAAUACAUGUACACACAGCUUGAGGAAUGUGUGUGGCAGGGCUGACUUUUCAUCUGCUUGCUCAGUCAGAGACUUCUAUCUGGCUCAAGUUAGGAGGGGUGAGUUAAAUGAGAUGACAGCCAAAAAUCAAUAAUAAUAUUCAGGAAUGGAUACUGGCUUGAAAGAAUGAGUAGAACAGGUGCAGGGGUUCAGGUAAGGGGCUUCACUCACCAACCUUGCAAUUUCCUGUUAGCUAAUGGUUUUAUUCAAAAGUGCAGUCCUGAUAGUUAAUGAUUUUAUUGAAUAGUGCAGUUAACCUUAAUACACCCUUGCUUUGACUGCUGGCUUCCUGGAUUAGGCCCGGACUUAAUUCAUAUUGAAAUAUGAGCGAGUUGUUGACUUUAAGUUUUAUUUGCAAGUUACAAUAAAAUAGUGUUUGUUCUCUCAA